rnacentral:rRNA from 1 species
AUUGAACGCUGGCGGCAGGCCUAACACAUGCAAGUCGAACGGUAACAGGAAGAAGCUUGCUUCUUUGCUGACGAGUGGCGGACGGGUGAGUAAUGUCUGGGAAACUGCCUGAUGGAGGGGGAUAACUACUGGAAACGGUAGCUAAUACCGCGUAACGUCGCAAAACCAAAGAGGGGGACCUUCGGGCCUCUUGCCAUCGGAUGUGCCCAGAUGGGAUUAGCUAGUAGGUGGGGUAACGGCUCACCUAGGCGACGAUCCCUAGCUGGUCUGAGAGGAUGACCAGCCACACUGGAACUGAGACACGGUCCAGACUCCUACGGGAGGCAGCAGUGGGGAAUAUUGCACAAUGGGCGCAAGCCUGAUGCAGCCAUGCCGCGUGUAUGAAGAAGGCCUUCGGGUUGUAAAGUACUUUCAGCGGGGAGGAAGGGAGUAAAGUUAAUACCUUUGCUCAUUGACGUUACCCGCAGAAGAAGCACCGGCUAACUCCGUGCCAGCAGCCGCGGUAAUACGGAGGGUGCAAGCGUUAAUCGGAAUUACUGGGCGUAAAGCGCACGCAGGCGGUUUGUUAAGUCAGAUGUGAAAUCCCCGGGCUCAACCUGGGAACUGCAUCUGAUACUGGCAAGCUUGAGUCUCGUAGAGGGGGGUAGAAUUCCAGGUGUAGCGGUGAAAUGCGUAGAGAUCUGGAGGAAUACCGGUGGCGAAGGCGGCCCCCUGGACGAAGACUGACGCUCAGGUGCGAAAGCGUGGGGAGCAAACAGG